GCCCUUGUAGCUCAAUGGUAGAGUCCGGGCUUGUCAAGCCAAAGGCCAGGGGUUCGAUCCCCAUGCGGGAACA
rfam:Phytophthora infestans T30-4 supercont1.45 genomic scaffold, whole genome shotgun sequence.